GCUUCCCCAGGAAUGUGAAUUUGUGCUGAGGUUUAAAGAGAUCCCUUGAACUACUGCUACAAAGUUUGCAGGAAAAUUUGCCAUGCCUGGGUCAUGUGGAAAUCUGAAGCAGGCUUACCAUCUCUUCAGUGCUCAGCAAUGAUCUGCAUCCCCUGAAGUUUGGAGAGGAAAUAUACAUAAAGCCUGUGCAGCAUGUGUUCAGACCUGUCCUUAGCCAUGACAUGAGCAUUUGCAGAUGAAACGACAGAUCAGAAAACCACGCAGUUAUCAUGAUCAGUAAUAAGUAUAAAAGUCUACCUUGGGAUGUCUGGGGUUUGGACUCUUCACGUCCCAAACUGUACAGAAAUGGCUUCUGA